rnacentral:misc_RNA from 1 species
AAUUCGUUGGAGUAGUAAGGUUUCGUCGUGGCGCUAGUUUGUUAGGUGGAUUAGCGGAUUACCGCGUCGGCUGGCGAUAAGUCAGCGUCUGGCACGACGACGGAACGGUUCCCCUGGUUACGUUGAUUUGAUCAGCGAUCUCGACGGUUCCCAAGUUUCGAUAUCCAGCGAACAGCAUGCCGUUGUCCAUUAGACCGGAACCACGGCCGUCGAUCGUUGCAUAGAUGAUACUCUUGUUCGUUACAAGGUACGUGCCCCAAUCGACAUUGAACUUCUCCGUGACUUGAUACGAAUCUGGACCUCCG